GUGCACUUCGCUUGGAGCAGUUGGUUUUUGAGAUCCGACUUUUUUAACAUUGUGGUGUCAGAACUUACACCGAAAGAUACUUAACAGAUUAGGAGAACUCACAUUCCUUUCUUCCUUUAACAAAGUAUGGGACUCGUUGCAUACAGAAGCCGUGCUAAUUGGGACAUCCCCCCCCCCCAAGUCUGUCAGUUUUACGUUUCGGCAAGUCCUUAAUCCAUCCAAAUGCCACAUUUAAGGACCAAGUAUUUUUCUGCAGUGUCGGUUUCUAAUUUUCAGUUAUGUGGCAGUAGUCUCCCCAAGCACUUGAAAUGUAGCCCUUCGGAAAUAAUGUCAGUACUAUGCCACUUGUCCUAAGACGUACUCCUCUGAAGUCCCUCACUGCCUGCCAUACUCGAUAGGGAUAACCAGUAGGCUUGUAACCAGCACAGAAACUGAUACACUGUGCCGUGUUUGGAACUCGGAAAAACCCAGCUUAGAAACCCGGGAAAAUCCCAACAUUUUUUUUCCCAUGCUAUCUGGAG
rnacentral:lncRNA from 1 species